GAUGAACGCUGGCGGCGUGCCUAAUACAUGCAAGUCGAGCGAACAGACGAGGAGCUUGCUCCUCUGACGUUAGCGGCGGACGGGGGAGUAACACGUGGAUAACCUACCUAUAAGACUGGGAUAACUUCGGGAAACCGGAGCUAAUACCGGAUAAUAUAUUGAACCGCAUGGUUCAAUAGUGAAAGACGGUUUUGCUGUCACUUAUAGAUGGAUCCGCGCCGCAUUAGCUAGUUGGUAAGGUAACGGCUUACCAAGGCAACGAUGCGUAGCCGACCUGAGAGGGUGAUCGGCCACACUGGAACUGAGACACGGUCCAGACUCCUACGGGAGGCAGCAGUAGGGAAUCUUCCGCAAUGGGCGAAAGCCUGACGGAGCAACGCCGCGUGAGUGAUGAAGGUCUUCGGAUCGUAAAACUCUGUUAUUAGGGAAGAACAAAUGUGUAAGUAACUAUGCACGUCUUGACGGUACCUAAUGAGAAAGCCACGGCUAACUACGUG
rnacentral:rRNA from 1 species